rnacentral:rRNA from 1 species
UACGUAGGGUGCGAGCGUUGUUCGGAUUUAUUGGGCGUAAAGAGCUUGUAGGCGGUUUGUCGCGUCUGCUGUGAAAAUCCGAGGCUCAACCUCGGACUUGCAGUGGGUACGGGCAGGCUAGAGUGUGGUAGGGGAGACUGGAAUUCCUGGUGUAGCGGUGAAAUGCGCAGAUAUCAGGAGGAACACCGAUGGCGAAGGCAGGUCUCUGGGCCACUACUGACGCUGAGAAGCGAAAGCAUGGGGAGCGAACAGG